UUUUGGAACUACUGCUCCAUUUACAUAAAAAAAGAGGCUCUCUGCUCUGAAUCUCUGUGCUGCAAUUUUGUGCGCCACUGUUCCCUCUCUGGGCCCUUUCGUCCCAUAUCAUACGCUCUCCUUCGCAGCGCCAACGUCUCUCUCUGAUUCCCUGUUUUUCUUUUACGCCCCCCAUUGAUAUGAUCUCUUGAUGGCUCUGUUUUUCUUGUGUUAAUCUCUUGGGUUUCUGUUUUUUCAAGCAUCUAUGAGGCUUCUUCUUGUGUUGUUCUUUGGGCUCCUGUUGUUUUCCGGUGGUUUCUCUUCCUCCGCCGCCGACAUCAGGGCGGAGAUACAGGCAUUGAUGUCGUUUAAACUUAACCUUCAUGACCCUCUUGGUGCAUUGACUGGGUGGGAUUCUUCAACCCCUUUGGCGCCUUGUGACUGGAGAGGCGUUUUAUGUGUCAAUAAUCGUGUCACUGAUCUUCGAUUGCCUCGUCUUCAACUUUCCGGCCGAUUGACCGAUCAGUUGGCUAACUUGCCGAUGCUCCGGAAGUUGAGUAUUCGAUCUAAUUUCUUCAAUGGUACCAUUCCCUCUUCUUUGUCCAAAUGUGCGUUUCUACGUUCGAUUUUCUUACAGUACAACUCGUUUUCCGGUGACCUUCCGGUGGAGUUUGGGAACUUAACCAAUCUCCAUAUUCUCAACGUGGCGGCGAAUCGCCUCUCCGGUGGAAUUCCCUACGACCUUCCGAGCAGUCUAAAGUAUCUCGAUCUUUCGUCGAAUGCAUUCUCCGGUCAGAUUCCGAGGAGCGUUGUGAACAUGACGGAGCUUCAGGUUGUGAAUCUCUCUUUCAAUAGAUUUGGCGGCGAGAUUCCGGCGAGCUUUGGUGAGCUGCAGAAGCUUAAACAUCUUUGGUUGGAUCAUAAUGUUCUAGAAGGGACAUUGCCUUCGGCUCUUGCGAAUUGUUCUUCGCUUGUUCAUUUGAGCGUUGAGGGAAAUGCCCUUCAAGGCAUAAUCCCGACAGCCAUCGGAGCUCUUCCGAAUCUUCAAGCUAUUUCGCUCUCGCAAAAUAGUCUCACUGGUUCAGUUCCUUACUCUCUGUUUUGCAAUGUGUCGUCGCAUGCGCCGUCUCUUCGAAUCGUUCAACUUGGAUUUAAUGCGUUCACGGACAUUGUCAAACCUCCGACAGCGACAUGUUUUAGUGUUCUACAGGUCCUUGAUAUCCAACAUAAUCAGAUAAAGGGGGAAUUCCCCUUGUGGUUAAUGGGUAUUCCGACAUUGACAGUCUUGGAUUUUUCUGUCAAUAAUCUCUCCGGCGAGAUUCCUCCCGGAAUUGGGAAUCUCUCGGGAUUACAAGAGCUUAAAAUGGCUAACAAUUCGUUCCACGGCGCGAUUCCGUCCGAAAUCAAGAACUGUACUUCGAUUUCUGUUAUUGAUUUUGAAGGAAAUCGUUUAACCGGAGAGAUUCCGCCGUUUUUGGGUUACAUGAGAGGUUUGAAACGAUUAUCUCUCGGAGGGAAUAAUUUCUCCGGUUACGUUCCGGCCAGUUUGGGAAAUCUUUUGGAGCUUGAAACCUUGAAUUUAGCUGAUAAUGGCUUGAGUGGAACCCUUCCUCUUGAACAGCUAAUGGGUCUUGGGAAUUUAAUGGCGAUGGAGCUCGGCGGGAACGAAUUUUCCGGCGAGGUUCCGAUUGGUAUUGGGAAUCUCAGCCGUCUUGAGAUUUUGAAUCUCAGUGCUAAUAGUUUUUUUGGGAAGAUUCCGUCUAGUCUUGGCAGUCUCUUCAAGCUAACCACCUUGGAUUUGAGCAAACAGAAUCUCUCCGGCGAGCUGCCGUUUGAGCUCUCUGGUUUGCCUAAUUUACAGGUGAUUGCUCUACAAGAGAACAAGCUAUCUGGGAAAAUUCCUGAUGGAUUCAGUAGUUUAGUGGGCUUGCGCUAUUUAAAUCUAAGCGCUAAUGGAUUUUCCGGCGAAAUCCCUUCAAAUUAUGGAUUUCUCCGAUCACUUGUUUCACUGUCGUUGUCGAAAAAUCACAUUUCUGGGUCGAUCCCUUCAGAGCUGGGGAACUGCUCUGUUCUAGAACAUUUGGAGGUCCGUUCAAAUGCUCUUUCCGGCGAUAUUCCGGCGGAUAUUUCUCGUUUAUCUCAUCUACAAGAGCUCGAUUUGGGUGGAAAUAAUUUAACUGGCGAAAUCCCUGAAGAGAUCUCUCGUUGCUCGUCUUUAAAAUCGCUCCUUCUCGACUCGAAUCGUCUCUCCGGUAGCAUACCGGAGUCGUUAUCGGAGCUCUUGAACUUAACCGAGCUCGACCUCUCAUCCAACAAUUUGAGUGGCGUUAUUCCUCUUAAUCUUAGCUCAAUUACUGGAUUAGUGAGGUUAAACGUCUCGAGUAAUGAUCUAGAAGGCGAAAUCCCAGCUUCUUUAGGCUCUAGAUUCAAUAACUCAGCUGUGUUUGCUAAUAAUUCCAAGCUAUGUGGGAAACCAUUGGCUUGGAAUUGUAAGGAUACAAAGAAAAAGGAUAGAACAAAGAGAUUGAUAUUAUUCAUAGCAGUGGCCGCCAGUGGAGCUUGUCUUUUGGCUUUGUGUUGCUGCUUUUACAUUUUCAGCUUGUUGCGAUGGCGGAAGAGGCUCAAAGAGAGGGCGUCCGGCGAGAAGAAAACAAGCCCAGCAAGGGUUAGCUCAGCGGCAAGUGGCGGCCGUGGAAGCACAGAAAAUGGAGGGCCAAAGCUUGUGAUGUUCAACAACAAGAUCACUCUAGCCGAAACAAUUGAAGCAACAAGGCAUUUCGAUGAAGAAAAUGUUCUAAGCAGGACACGUUAUGGGUUAGUUUUCAAAGCUUGUUACAACGACGGCAUGGUUCUUUCAAUCCGCCGCCUAUCAAAUGGUUCAUUGGACGAAAACAUGUUCAGAAAAGAAGCUGAAUCAUUGGGGAAAGUCAGGCACCGGAAUUUGACUGUUCUUCGUGGCUACUACGCUGGCCCUCCUGACAUGCGGCUCUUAGUAUACGAUUACAUGCCUAAUGGCAACCUCGCCACUCUGCUUCAGGAAGCAUCGCACCAAGAUGGGCAUGUUUUGAAUUGGCCAAUGCGGCAUCUCAUUGCUUUAGGCAUCGCCCGUGGCUUAGCCUUUCUCCAUUCCUCAUCCAUUAUACAUGGAGAUGUUAAGCCACAAAGUGUUCUUUUCGACGCCGAUUUCGAAGCUCAUUUGUCAGAUUUCGGGCUCGAUCGACUAACCAUUGCUGCUGCUGAAGCUUCCACAUCUAGCUUGGUGGGCACUUUGGGGUACAUUGCACCAGAAGCUGUGUUGACAGGGGAGGCCACGAAGGAAUCGGAUGUCUAUAGCUUUGGCAUUGUGUUGCUUGAGAUUCUAACGGGGAAGAAGCCAGUGAUGUUCACGGAUGAUGAAGACAUUGUCAAGUGGGUGAAAAAGCAAUUGCAAAGAGGCCAAAUUACUGAGCUUUUAGAGCCUGGUUUGCUCGAGCUGGAUCCUGAAUCCUCUGAAUGGGAAGAGUUUUUGCUUGGUGUGAAAGUUGGAUUACUUUGCACUGCACCCGAUCCCCGCGAUCGACCAGCCAUGUCGGAUAUCGUUUUCAUGCUCGAAGGAUGUCGUGUCGGACCAGACAUCCCUUCCUCUGCUGAUCCCACCUCCCAACCGUCACCGGCGUAAACCAUAAACGAAACCAACCCAACCCAACCCAACCAUGGUUCGAUGAUUCCAUUUCUCAACAUUUUAUGAAUAAACGAACAGUCAACGAUUUGGACAGCAAGCAGGCCCCGGGAGAGAGUAUCCUAAUCGUAUCAGAGGCUAUGGCUUGGGUGGGCGAAAGCCGAUGCUUUUCCACUUUUUGUGUUGGGAGGCUAAAAGGGUCUUUUCACUCCAAAACACGACAAAAAACAAAGCAGCAACAACAAGUCAGCUCUGGGUUUGGUUGUGUCUCUGUGUUUGGUCACGUGGCUUCCAGAGCUAGCUCACUGUUCUGUACACUCCAUUGUAGCCGUUAAUGUCGUGGUUUCUGAUUCGUCGUUUGCAAUCCCCCAAGUUUUCAUUUUUCAUUUGGCUCAGUGAUUUAAUAAUGCCCUCUUCCUUUCUCUGAGCUGAAGUUUUCAGAAAAACAUGGUGGUGGCGCCAUGGCGGAUUCAUAGGAUUUUGCGAACCUUUUUUCUUUUGUGUUUUUUGUUAAUGUCU